ensembl:lincRNA
AUAAAGCCAUUUUUAUAAGUGCAAACACUUGGAACUUUUAUCCUUUCCUCAGGAGUUACUUGAGUAUGUGCUCCAGCAAAAAGAAUGAGUGAAUGAAGAGAGAGGAAGAUAUAGUCUAUGGCAGAGUAAAUUUAAUUUACAAAAUUAAUAAAGGAAAGUACAAUGAUGAUGGCUCUACAGUUGAUCUAGAGAACCUAUCUACAGGUCAGAAUAAACCAGAGAAGAGUCACGUCUAGGAAGGAUGUUUGAAAUGUUACAUUAGGAGGCUGACAGCUGUUCCUUCCUGACGUUUGGAGGUGAGAAUUAUUGACACAACCCCAGUAUCAUGGAGCACUCCUCUCUGCAAGUGUAAACUGCUGUGUGUUGUUUGAAGAACACUGCACGUGCUAUCUUCCUCAGUACUAUUCUGGUAAGUAACUUAAAUCACCACUAAAUAUUUUAGCUCUUCUGUCUUCCUUUCCUCAUUAUUCUUCUCUCCAGUUUUUUAUUCCGUUG